CUCUGUCUUGCGCUCUCUCUCACUCUCUUUCCCUCCCUCUGUCUUGCGCUCUCUCUCACUCUCUUUCCCUCUCUCUCUCUUGCACUCUCUCUCUCACGCUCUCUAUCUCUCUCUCUGUCUUGCGCUCUCUCUCACUCUCUUUCCCUCCCUCUGUCUUGCGCUCUUUCUCACGCUCUUUCCCUCCCUCUGUCUUGCGCUCUCUCUCACUCUCUUUCCCUCUCUCUCUCUUGCGCUCUCUCUCUCACGCUCUCUAUCUCUCUCUCUGUCUUGCGCUCUCUCUCACUCUCUUUCCCUCCCUCUGUCUUGCGCUCUUUCUCACGCUCUUUCCCUCCCUCUGUCUUGCGCUCUCUCUCACUCUCUUUCCCUCCCUCUGUCUUGCGCUCUCUCUCACUCUCUUUCCCUCCCUCUGUCUUGCGCUCUCUCUCACUCUCUUUCCCUCCCUCUGUCUUGCGCUCUUUCUCACUCUCUUUCCCUCCCUCUGUCUUGCGCUCUCUCGUGACUCUACAUUCACAGAUCCAUUGUAUAAUGUUAUCCUGUGAUCCUCCUCUUCUCUUCUUCUAUUUAUUCAACUUAAAACCAUUUUACAGUAAAAAGACAUGAGGUGGAAACGUCAACCUGUCAGGAUAAAAUGUCUUCACACACAUUCCCAGACAGAAUACUGAUAUUUCACAUUCUGUUUCUUCUUACCUUCCAAGCCUUCCACUACACCGACUGGAUAUCUAUGAUCCUACACUCAGUGACUCUAACUUUAUGGAUAUAUUGUUUAUAAUGGAUACACACCCCCAUCCACAUCGACGGGAUCGAUGUGGAUGGGGACCGCAGUGGAGAAGGUGAAAAGUUUCAAGUUCCAUCGGCGUACACAUCGCUGACAAUCUGAAAUGGUCCACCCACACAGACAGUGUGGUGAAGAAAGUGCAACAACAACUCUUCAACCUCGGGAGGCUGAAGAAAUUCGGCUUGGCCCCUAAGACCUUCACAAAUUUUUAUAGAUGCACGAUUGAGAGCAUCCUGUCGGGCUGUAUCACCGCCUGGUACGGCAACUGCACCACCCUCAACCGAAGCGCUCUCCAGAGGGUAGUGCAGUCUGCUCAAAGCAUCACCGGGGACAUACUGCCGUCCUCCAGGACACCUACAGUACCCGAUGUCACAGGAAGGCCAAAAAGAUCAUCAAGGACAUCAACCACCCGAGCCAUGGCCUGUAUUCACCCCGCUAUCAUCCAGAAGGCAAGCCCUCCUGGUUUUGACCCUUGCCUUUCCUGACGCUGUAUCCACCUGCCUGAACACUCUGCCUGUUCUGACCUCGAGCCUGCCUAUCCCCUUGUGCUGUUUGGACAUGGACCUGUUCACUGAACCCCUACCUGUCCUGACCUAGAGUCUGCCUAUCGCCUGGUGCUGUUUGGACUCUGUCCUGGUUUAUGAACUCUCGCCUGGCCCCGACCUGCCUUUUGCCAACCCCUUUUGGUAUAAUAAAUAUCGGAGCUCAACCAUCUGCCUCCUGUGUCUGCAUUUGGGUCUCGCCUUGUGCUCUUAUAAAAAAAUUGACAGCUGUGCCAUAUAGAUUGCAAAAUAGUUGGGAAGAGAUUUUCAACGUACCGAUUCCAUGGCACAUGGUUUAUGAACUGAUACGCAAAAUGACGCCAAAUUUAAAACUUAAAAUGAUUAUACAAAAAUUCUUGCAACCAAUAAAAUGUUAUAGAGAGAC
rnacentral:lncRNA from 1 species